rnacentral:lncRNA from 1 species
ACAGAGGGUAGGAGGAGAGAUGAUGUAGAGGGUAUAUACAGUAGGUCAUGGAGGGACAGAGGGUAGGAGGAGAGAUGAUGUAGAGGGUAUAUACAGUAGGUCAUAGAGGGUAGGGGGAGAGAUGAUGUAGAGGGUAUAUACAGUAGGUCAUGGAGGGACAGAGGGUAGGAGGAGAGAUGAUGUAGAGGGUAUAUACAGUAGGUCAUGGAGGGACAGAGGGUAGGAGGAGAGAUGAUGUAGAGGGUAUAUACAGUAGGUCAUGGAGAGACAGAGGGGUAGGAGGAGAGAUGGGUAUAUACAGUAGGUCAUGGAGGGACAGAGGGUAGGAGGAGAGAUGAUGUAGAGGGUAUAUACAGUAGGUCAUGGAGAGACAGAGGGUAGGAGGAGAGAUGGGUAUAUACAGUAGGUCAUGGAGGGACAGAGGGUAGGAGGAGAGAUGAUGUAGAGGGUAUAUACAGUAGUUCAUAGAGGGUAGGAGGAGAGAUGAUGUAGAGGGUAUAUACAGUAG